rnacentral:rRNA from 1 species
GCACUCCUACGGGGGCAGCAGUGGGGAAUAUUGCACAAUGGGCGCAAGCCUGAUGCAGCCAUGCCGCGUGUAUGAAGUAAGGCCUUCGGGUUGUAAAGUACUUUCAGCAGUGAGGAAGGUGGGUAUGUUAAUAGCAUAUUCAUUUGACGUUAGCUGCAGAAGAAGCACCGGCUAACUCCGUGCCAGCAGCCGCGGUAAUACGGAGGGUGCGAGCGUUAAUCGGAAUUACUGGGCGUAAAGCGCAUGCAGGUGGUUUGUUAAGUCAGAUGUGAAAGCCCGGGGCUCAACCUCGGAAUUGCAUUUGAAACUGGCAAACUAGAGUACUGUAGAGGGGGUAGAAUUUCAGGUGUAGCGGUGAAAUGCGUAGAGAUCUGAAGGAAUACCGGUGGCGAAGGCGGCCCCCUGGACAGAUACUGACACUCAGAUGCGAAAGCGUGGGGAGCAAACAGGAUUAGAUACCCUGGUAG